GACCUGGUGGCUCAGUGGUUAAAGCGCUUGGCUGCUAACCAAAAGGUCAGUAGUUUGAACCCUCCAGCCCC
rnacentral:tRNA from 1 species